UUUCUCUUACACCCUUCUCUGUGAUCUCAUCUGACAAUCACUACCAUGGCAACCAAGCCUCUGUGACGUUCCAGCAAGCUCAUUGUCUUCUCUUCACUAAACUUUAGUUAGUAGUUGGUCCCAGUCAGUAACACUCUGGGAGGGCUCAGGCCACAUCACGAAAUGUGACAGGAUAGCCUUGAACUCAUCAAUUGCUGGGGGCACCUCAAACUCAACUCCAAAAUUGAUCUAAUGAACUUUCCCAAACCACAUUCCCUUCUUGCAUUUCUGAGAGAAUGGAUUCCCAUUCAUCUGACUACAGUGCUACCCUGAAAGCAGAUCCAGAGACUAAGAUUCACCUGCAGGUGAUUCAUUUGCAAGGUAAGCUGUCAUCAGUUGGAGGUAAGCGGAAGACAGUAGAGAGUACAGAGCCCUGGACUGUGACUCAGAGGAUGAGCACCAGAUCCAGUUUGCUGUGCCACAGUGUCCUGAAGAUUUUCCUCAGAUAAUCUUUCAUCUCUUUGUUCCUGAGACUAUAUAUUAGAGGAUUACAGAGUGGUGUUAUCACAGAAAAGAACAAGUGGAUUUUUAUCUGAGAUCUACAACUUAUGAAGAAUACAAAUGAUGUAUAUUCUUUUCUACUCUUCAUGUAUGGACUAGAGGGGCUUGCACAUAAGAAAAAAAUGGCUGAGACCCACAGGAACAAAGAAACAGGACAGGAGUUAGAUGCAGAGAAGAGAUUUCAACAAAAGUUUGGAAAAGAUGCUAACGGUAGCAUAUGAGUCACAGACAGAACAUUGGCACCUUUGUUUAAGAAACUGAAUGUUAAUGUCACAUCUGCCUUUGGAGAUUACAAAUGAAAUGGCUACCUUUCUACUGGAACCCUGACCAGAAGUCUGCCAGUUAGUAAGCUGGCUUAAGAGAUCAAUCUAAAAUUUACAUAAGGCUUUUGAAAAAAAGAAAAAAGAACCCAAAGGCACAGAUUGACGUUAUAAGUCCUGAUUUUUGACUUGACUUCUCAUCACCUGGAAGUGAAUAAAGCAGUAGACUUCUCUAACAUUUUGUAACACAGCAUGAAAAAAUAUAGAGUACAAAAGAUAUAUAUAUAUAAUAUGAUAAAAUGAUGAGUUACGUUUCUAAAUCUUUUAUCAUCUUACUGUCAUUUCUCUAUAUUUGGUCUAGCCAGACUUCUAUUCAUUUUGUCACUUAUCUUUCAUCAAACUAGGGCUGAUGCUCUUGGGAAAGGGACCACUGAUUUGAUAUGCUCUUCAAACACCAGCACACUGUACUAUAUAGAAAGAUAUUCACUGAAAAUACUGAAGCUAGUAAUACAAAGGAAAAAGGCAUAAAAAUAGUGUGAUAACUAAUUGCUUACUUAAGAAUAUUAUCUGAAAUUAGAAACUAAUAUCAAUGAAGAAAAGGGGAACUUUUGGCAAACUCUAGUAAGUAAUAACUGAGCCUGAUUCAUGGAGGCCAUAAUUGGAAUAAGGACUGAGAGCAAUUUCACCCCUUGGAGGACAUUUGGAAGUGCCCAGAGACAUUUUUGGUGGUCACAACUGAGGACAUAUAUUGGCAUCUUGUACUGUUUAGACAUCUUACAAUGCACAGGACAGCCCCCAG
rnacentral:lncRNA from 1 species